GAAAACUGGGCUUCGGCCCGAUCAACCCCACAACACCUGUGAACCGUUAAACUCGGAUGGGCUUCGGCCCGUCCUAUUUACAAAACAUCUUAUGAAGUCAUGAACGUCAAGUUAUAUUAACAAAAUAAAACUUUCAACAACGGAUCUCUUGGCUCC
rnacentral:misc_RNA from 1 species